rnacentral:rRNA from 1 species
CGAGCGCUGUAGCAAUACAGAGCGGCGCACGGGAGAGUAAUACGUGGGAACCUACCUUUUGGUUCGGAAUAACGUCGGGAAACUGACGCUAAUACCGGAUACGUCCUUCGGGAGAAAGAUUUAUCGCCGAUAGAUGGGCCCACGUUGGAUUAGCUAGUUGGUGAGGUAACGGCUCACCAAGGCAACGAUCCAUAGCUGGUCUGAGAGGAUGAUCAGCCUCACUGGGACUGAGACACGGCCCAGACUCCUACGGGAGGCAGCAGUGGGGAAUAUUGGACAAUGGGGGCAACCCUGAUCCAGCCAUGCCGCGUGAGUGAUGAAGGCCUUCGGGUUGUAAAGCUCUUUUGCAGGGGACGAUGAUGACGGUACCCUGAGAAUAAGCUCCGGCUAACUUCGUGCCAGCAGCCGCGGUAAUACGAAGGGAGCUAGCGUUGUUCGGAAUUACUGGGCGUAAAGGGCGCGUAGGCGGCUUGGCAAGUUGGGUGUGAAAGCCCAGGGCUCAACCCUGGAAUUGCAUUCAAGACUGCCUUGCUUGAAUUCGGUAGAGGUUGGUGGAAUUCCCAGUGUAGAGGUGAAAUUCGUAGAGAUUGGGAAGAACACCCGUGGCGAAGGCGGCCAACUGGACCGACAUUGACGCUGAGGCGCGAAAGCGUGGGGAUCAAACAGGAUUAGAUACCCUGGUAGUCCACGCCGUAAACGAUGCAUGCUAGACGUUGGAGGGCUUCGCUCUCUUGUGUCGCAGCUAACGCAU